UUGAGUUAAUUAUUGUAUAUGGUGUGAGGCAGAGCCAAGGUGAUGUUUCAAAAACAAACCAGACUCAGUGACUCCGCUUCUUAAAAUUCUCUACUGGCUUCCGGCUGCUCUUAGAACACAAUCCUAGUUCCUCGCCCCAAGGUUUUCAGCCUCAUCUCAGCGCCCACGCACCCCCUCCCAACCCCCCCAGGCCUAGUUUGCUGGAGCCAUGGCUGCCUUCUCACAGUUCCUAAUCCCUAAACUCAUUCUGACUGGUGUUUUUGCAAUGCUGUUCCCUACGCCGGAAACAGAAUUUCUAGUGGCUACUGCCCUUCUUUCGAUCUCAGUGUAAAAGUGCCUUCUUCAGUUAAGACCUUGGCUGACCACUCUACAUGAGAUAUCCAAACACCUAAGAAGUGAGCCCAAGAGAUGAUUGAAACUUUUGAUCCGGGAAAUAACUCACACAUUUGUUUUGCUUUGCUAUAAUCUUCAGAGGUGUGUAUCAUGUUGCCAAGUCCCAGGUUUUUAAAAAACAGAUUUUCCUUUGGGCUUCCCCCCUCCCACCUUUCAUCCCGGUAAUAUUUUCUCCUAUCUCUCAUCUUCUAAAAAAAAAGUAGGUGUAACAGUCUAAUCAGCCUUUACCAACUUUUCUGCAAGAACAAGGCAGAAAAUACGAAGAUAUACAUCAAGAAUUGUUAUUAUUGUUUAUGUAGUAGUGAUAUAUGACUCCCCUGGGCUUUGUGUUUUACAUGGCCACUUUGAAAACACAGGAUGCUGUUCAGGCACAAGCGAUUUGUUUCUGAGUCCUGUGCUUGGAUAUUUCUAAUAAAUAUAUUCUGCCUCUGAUUUUAUGAUAUCAACAAGAUACCCAUGCAAUAAAAUAUUUUCAGAUUC